rnacentral:rRNA from 1 species
UUCCCGCAAGGGACAUUUGCAGAGGUGCUGCAUGGCUGUCGUCAGCUCGUGUCGUGAGAUGUUGGGUUAAGUCCCGCAACGAGCGCAACCCUUGUCGUUAGUUGCCAUCAGGUUAUGCUGGGAACUCUAACGAGACUGCCCGUGUGAAACGGGAGGAAGGUGGGGAUGACGUCAAGUCCUCAUGGCCCUUACGUCCAGGGCUACACACGUACUACAAUGGCCGGUACAGAAGGUUGCAAUACCGCGAGGUGGAGCCAAUCCCAAAAACCGGCCUCAGUUCGGAUUGCAGUCUGCAACUCGACUGCAUGAAGUCGGAAUCGCUAGUAAUCGCAGAUCAGCACGCUGCGGUGAAUACGUUCCCGGGCCUUGUACACACCGCCCGUCACACCAUGGGAGCCGGUAGGACCCGAAGUCGCUGACCCAACCCGCAAGGGAGGUAGGUGCCGAAGGUCAGAUCGGUGACUGGGGUGAAGUCGUAACAAGGUAGCCGUACUGGAAAG